GACAUAUGUGGCGAGCGUUACUCGGAAUCACUAGGCGUAAAGCGCGUGUAGGCGGGUGCGUAAGUACGCUGUGAAAUCUCCCGGCUCAACUGGGAGGGGUCAGCGGAUACUGGGCGUCUAGAGUGGGGUAGGGGGCAGCGGAAUUCCGAGUGUAGAGGUGAAAUUCGUAGAUAUUCGGAAGAACACCAGUGGCGAAGGCGACUUACUGGACACAUAUUGACGCUGAGGUGCGAAAGCGUGGGGAGCAAACAGG
rnacentral:rRNA from 1 species